rnacentral:rRNA from 1 species
CUCCAGACUCCUACGGGAGGCAGCAGUGGGGGAUAUUGCACAAUGGGGGGAACCCUGAUGCAGCGACGCCGCGUGGGUGAAGGAGCGUUUCGGCGCGUAAAGCCCUAUCGGCAGGGAAGAAGGAGGACGGUACCUGACUAAGAAGCCCCGGCUAACUACGUGCCAGCAGCCGCGGGAAUACGUAGGGGGCAAGCGUUAUCCGGAUUCACUGGGUGUAAAGGGAGCGUAGACGGCGACGCAAGUCUGGAGUGAAAGCCCGGGGCCCAACCCCGGGACUGCUCUGGAAACUGCGUCGCUGGAGUACGGGAGGGGCAGGCGGAAUUCCUGAUGUAGCGGUGAAAUGCGUAGAUAUCAGGAGGAACACCGGCGGCGAAGGCGGCCUGCUGGACCGUGACUGACGUUGAGGCUCGAGAGCGUGGGGAGCAAACAGGAUUAGAUACCCGUGUA